UUACCUUCGGGUAAUGAGGAUGGCGGACGGGUGAGUAACGCGUAAGGAACUUGCCUCUUGGACUGGGACAACUGUUGGAAACGACAGCUAAUACCGGAUAUUAUGAGAUUCUCGCAUGAGAAACUUAUGAAAGCUAUAUGCGCCAAGAGAGAGCCUUGCGUUCCAUUAGCUAGUUGGUGGGGUAACGGCCCACCAAGGCGACGAUGGAUAGCCGGCCUGAGAGGGUGAACGGCCACAAGGGGACUGAGACACGGCCCUUACUCCUACGGGAGGCAGCAGUGGGGAAUAUUGGACAAUGGGCCACAAGCCUGAUCCAGCAAUUCUGUGUGCACGAUGAAGGUCUUCGGAUUGUAAAGUGCUUUCAGUUGGGAAGAAGAAAGUGACGGUACCAACAGAAGAAGCGACGGCUAAAUACGUGCCAGCAGCCGCGGUAAUACGUAUGUCGCAAGCGUUAUCCGGAUUUAUUGGGCGUAAAGCGCGUCUAGGCGGAAAAAUAAGUCUGAUGUUAAAAUGCGGGGCUCAACUCCGUAUUGCGUUGGAAACUGUUUUUCUAGAGUACUGGAGAGGUGGGCGGAACUAC
rnacentral:rRNA from 1 species